GAUGAACGCUGGCGGCGUGCCUAAUACAUGCAAGUCGAGCGAACAGACGAGGAGCUUGCUCCUCUGACGUUAGCGGCGGACGGGUGAGUAACACGUGGAUAACCUACCUAUAAGACUGGGAUAACUUCGGGAAACCGGAGCUAAUACCGGAUAAUAUAUUCAACCGCAUGGUUCAAUAGUGAAAGACGGUUUUGCUGUCACUUAUAGAUGGAUCCGCGCCGCAUUAGCUAGUUGGUAAGGUAACGGCUUACCAAGGCAACGAUGCGUAGCCGACCUGAGAGGGUGAUCAGCCACACUGGAACUGAGACACGGUCCAGACUCCUACGGGAGGCAGCAGUAGGGAAUCUUCCGCAAUGGGCGGAAGCCUGACGGAGCAACACCGCGUGAGUGAUGAAGGUCUUCGGAUCGUAAAACUCUGUUAUUAGGGAAGAACAAAUGUGUAAGUAACUAUGCACGUCUGGACGGUACCUAAUCAGAAAACCACGGCUAACUUCGUG
rnacentral:rRNA from 1 species